rnacentral:misc_RNA from 1 species
GAAUUUCAACUGUGAUGAGCUUCUUAAAUAGCAUAGUGAACAAGGAUUAAUAAUUAAAUUGUCAAGCCACACAGCAUUCCUAAGCAAGUGUAGUACAGGCUAUGAAACUCAAUUUCUGCAGCAUUUCCGUGAAAGCCAAGCACUUCCACCACCUUUGAGGCAGGGAAUGUGUAAAAUCCUCUGGAAUCUCGUGAAACUCUCCAGAUGAAGGAAAAGAGCUUUUAAGAGGUUUUCUUUUUAGGCCAUUGAGUGCCUGUCUAUUCUACUUAUUUUGAUCACUAGUACAACAUAAUGCAGCAGGCAAUUCCAUAGUGAAAGAAUCAAAUUCUUGAACUCUGAAACAAAGAAGGAAGAAGUGUUCGCUAGCCUUGAGAGUGAACCUAUACUAUGGUAAGGGCAUGUUAGA